rnacentral:rRNA from 1 species
UACGUAGGGGGCAAGCGUUGUCCGGAAUCAUUGGGCGUAAAGAGCGUGUAGGCGGCCCGGUAAGUCUGUUGUGAAAGUCCAGGGCUCAACCCUGGAAUGCCGAUGGAUACUGCCGGGCUAGAGUUCGGAAGAGGCGAGUGGAAUUCCUGGUGUAGCGGUGGAAUGCGCAGAUAUUGGGAGGAACACCAGUGGCGAAGGCGGCUCACUGGACUGGUACUGACGCUGAGGCGCGAAAGCGUGGGGAGCAAACGGG